rnacentral:rRNA from 1 species
ACCUCCCCUCCUCGGAGGGGGGGGGCCGGGGCAACAGAACCCACGGCGCCGACGGCGUCAAGGAACACUAUGCCUAACCCGAGGGUGUGGUUGGCUUGCUAGCCACCCCUCGUGUUGUGAUGCUAUCUAAUCCACACGACUCUCGGCAACGGAUAUCUCGGCUCUCGCAUCGAUGAAGAACGUAGCGAAAUGCGAUACCUGGUGUGAAUUGCAGAAUCCCGCGAACCAUCGAGUCUUUGAACGCAAGUUGCGCCCGAGGCCACCCGGCUGAGGGCACGCCUGCCUGGGCGUCACGCCAAUACACGCUCCCACCACCCUCAUUGGGUUGCGGGAUGCGGAUUCUGGCCCUCCGUGCCGUGAGGCGCGGCGGGCCGAAGAUCGGGCUGCCGGCGUAUCGUGCCGGACACAGCGCGUGGUGGACUUCUACUCAGCGCAGUGCAUUUGGCAUGUAGCCGGCGCAACGGCCCCAAGGACCCAACGAACGGAGCGCCUGUCGCUCCGACCGCGACCCCAGGUCAGGCGGGACUACCCGCUGA